GAUGUCCGCCAGGUUGAAGGGAGCGGCGGCGGGAGCCCCGUCGCGGCCGCCACCACCGCCGCCGCCGCCGCCGUAGAGGAGUCCGCCGGGCUCGGCGCAGGGCAGCGGCAGCAGGUCAGGACACCUGCUGGGAGAACAGAGUCCAUUAACCUGAAGAUGGGUGACUGGUUUGUUCUCAGCUGUCCAGCUACUGGAUGAGAAGAAAGGCCAGUAAAAGAAAACAACUGCAGACGUGAGCCUUGGAAUUUAAUUAUAAUAACAUGAGAAGCUGCAUGUGAAUGAAAAGAGAAAUGACUUCAAUGUUGAAGUUGUAGAGUUCUUGUUCAUUUUGUAAAGGUGUAAUGUGAGCACCCCUUGGAAAAUGUAUCAGUGGGAAAUGGCUGAUAAGAAAUAGCUCCUUUUAAGGAGUUAUAACUACUUACAAGUGUUAAGAAUCUGGGGCCAAUUAAGUUUGUGUGAAACUUUUGUUCCAAAACUCCAAAGCUUGUGAAACUUGCUGGGUUGUUUGCUUCAGAGAAGAUUUGGCUGCAUGACAGCACCCAAAGACACAUCCCAGCCCGCCAUCUUCUUAGCACGGCCAUGGAACACUAGGACAAAAUUGCUUAAUGCCAAAUGGCUCCAUGUGCUGAUAAGAUAGUGAGUGGGUCAUCCAAACACAACUGAUGGACAUGUGCUGUGGUGCAAGGGCUAGGUUUCUCCAAAGCCUGAUUUCCCUGUCACCUGGCAGGACUGUGGUUCCAGAGGGCUUUGGUAGCUGCCAUCUGCUGAAUCUGACAGAAAGUGAUUUGUGUGUUCCUGUCUCUCCGGUGGAGGUUUCAGCCUUCCUAAAUGGGAGGAGAAGGCAGGUCCCCCCACAGAUGUGCUUAUCGUAGCGUAGGAGCUGAUGUUGCAGGGUGUAGGCUUACAUGCUGCACUUGAUAGUUCCCAUCACCCCAGUGGCAGCAAGAAAGGGAGGGGGCCUGAGGUGGAUGACACAUCAACCCACAGAAGAAAUAUUCACCAGGGGACAUGGGGCAUCAUUGGAUGAGGGCAGUGGUGGUUCUGGUAGAUGAAUGUGUUGAUUUUAUGUGGCUAGCCUUACUUCUCCUGAUAGGGAGGCCAAGGUAGUGUGGGUUCUUCUGACCUGCACUCCUGCCACCAGUGCCCAAAAUGACUGGGAGCAGCAUGGCUGGGGUCCUGCCUUCUCUCAUCAGCUCUUGAAGACUUGGUGGCACUCCUGUCUGUAGGAAGCUGGCAGUUUAGCCAGUUUCCAGAAAAUAUGGAACUUGCUUCAAGAGGUUACGUUGUGAGUACCAUGGCAGGCACUGAUAAAUCCAGGCGUCCGAUCUCAGCAGGUUGGAUUAUCUAUUGAGCUGCCCUGGCCUUUCCCUGCUGCAGAACAGGUCUUCUACUGGUGCAGAAAGAGCUGGAGCUGCGCUUGCCUCUCCUCUCUAGGCAAAUCACCAAGAAAGGAGGUAAGGAAUCGACACCCAUCCAGCAGAUUUAUGCUUAGGACAUGUGAAAGUGAUUCAUGAGAUGUUCCUCCAACGCUGGGCAACAGGUUGACAUGCAGCAGGUGACAGCCCAGCUCUGCCACUUAUGCCCAGACAUGCGAAAUUAUUUCCCAGUGAAAUGAUGGGAUUUAAGUGCAUGACUGGGCAUCAGGCCUUUGCUCUUCCACCUGCGCAGCUCCAUAUUUAUAUAAAGUGGGGAUAAUAUUUCUCUGUGUAAUAAAGGGUUUACAAGAUCAAAGUGCAUUUGAUCUGAGGGGUUCUCAAAUACCCUGUUGUUAAAUAUUAAUGAUUGUGGAAGUAUUUAUGUGAGGGCUGCUGGUGAGGAUGACAUUGAGGCUCGAGCCAUUCCUCUCACUAGUCAGUUUUUCUGGCUUGUUUCAGUACUGCUGUCAAAUUGAAAGAAGAAACCUAGAAAAAAUAACAGUAAAACCAUAGGCACUUACAAAAAUAAAUGGAAAGCUAAGGCAGGUAUAGUCCCAUACAGAUGCUCUAACUUUAUUUUCUUCAUUCCUUGAAAUAAAUACACAUGAUUACAUAAGCAAUAAACAAAGGGUAACUCUGUGCCCAGCAGUUGUCACAGCUUCUCUUGUUGCUCUUGUUGCAUGGAAUCCUGCAGAUUGUGGAAAGGGCAGUCCUGAGGUAAACCAAAGAGUGUCAUUUUGUCCCUGGCCAACAUUUAACAGAGCUUUCCAGGAGAAAUCUGUGUCCAUUAUCAAGACUCUUCAUUUUGAGAAGGAGCCACAUAGCCUUGUAUUUUUGAUAGGAAGUUCCAUAAGCGGUCGGCUACCAAAAGGGGAAAUGAGAGCUGUGUGGCCACAACUGUGCCCCUUGAUUUGCCCCAGUGCAGAGUGGCAGUGAGGGAGAACUGUCCCUCAUCCUCCCCUCGCAUCCCUCUGGACGCCAUGGCUGAAGGAGCAGAGACUAGUGACAUAAGCUGACAUGGCAAGGAGGAUCCCUUCCAAAACGCAGGAAGAAUUGAACUAAAAUACCCACCAUACCUCUUCUCCUCAUCUGCACUGUCCUAGCCCUCUGUAGGCAAAGGAAAGCUGGAGCUGCUCUGUGUGUGAAGCCAGCUGUAAGAACAGUGCUGCUGUCCCUACCUGGGACAGGAUGGUCUCUCCUCUCCCUGUAGCUGUGGCAGAUGCUGCCUAGAACUGCUCUCUGUAAGGUUCAGGGGUGGAGAUGAGCAUCAAAAAGGGAGGAAAACACCUCCACGGUUUUCUGACAAUUGUGGCUCCCAGAGGAACAAGAUACAAGAGGCUGUUGUUUCUACUCAAGCCUUGUGGGCUGGAUGCUCUUUUCACUUAAUUAUUUUUAAUCAGCAAACAAGACGUGCUUUGUGCUCAGCCACACUUGUGAUUUGGAGAGGAGAGCCUGAUGAGGCUGUGAAGGAAUGUGCUGUGUACUCAUCGCUCCUUCUCGGGGCCAACCAUCAUUCCCCAGUGCUGUCCGUGGCAAAGCCCUGGACCAGAAGAGCCCCCGUGGCCAGAAAACGUGUGACAUACCAGGGAGAGCUGCUGCCCUUUAGAAAAUAAUACCUACGGGGCUAGGAUCAGCGUGCUCAGAGGGGCAGGAGGCUGGCUAAUUCUCCGUCCUUUUCGCAUUCUCUCGUUUUCCUUCGGGCUGUCCCCAGGGCCCAGCUGUCUCCGCGUAGCUGCCAGGCAUGUAUGUGCUGUUGCAUCAUGCACAGCGCGCAGCUCGGGCCGGGCUGCCGCGCUCGGCAGCUGACCAGGCUCGCUCUGCCUGCGCUGGGAUUCCACAGCCGGCCUUAAAUAUCCCGGUUAUUUUUAUCCUCCUACGUAAUGCGGCCGGGGCCGUCCCACCGGUGGCAGGGCAACAGCUACACAAUGUUUCCCUUUAGUCGGGAAGGGAAAUGGAAAGCGGCCAGGCUUCCUGAUCACAUGGUGCCUGAAGUCAAUGAAGAAAAUUAGGAAAAAACCCUCCUCCCUCCCACUUAUUAUUAUUUUUUUUUUCCUUCUUUUGUAACAAGCUGGUCCAGCUUAACCCUUGGCACAAAGCACGUCUAAGAACGAGCAGCCUGUUGGGCUGCAUGCCAGGAAAGCAUCAGGGGAGAGAGAGAGAAAAAAAAAAAAAAAAGCAGAAAACCAGAACAUAAACACAAGAUUGCUGCGGUAAUUGGUGGCUCUGAAAAACACUGAGGAAAUGUGAGGCUUGUAUGAAACAUCAGCAGACAAGAAGCGGGGUGAUGUCAGACGGCCUUCCAGGAUUAGAAACCCUUAAAAGCUCCCGAGUGCGGAACUGCCUGCGAAACGCGCUGCGGCUCUUUGGCGUGGAAGGACCCGAGGAGGACAAGUUCUGUUGAAAACCAACCCCGUGGUUCAGGUUCAGGAGAAUAAAAAGAAAUAAAGGAGGAGAAGGGAAGAGCGGCAGAUAAAAGGAGGGAAAAAUGAGAGGAAAAUGAAGACAAAAAAUGGAAGAGGAAGAAAGGAAGGAGGUAGUGAAGAGAAUAAAGGAGAGGUGAAGCAAGAAGACAAAAGAAGAAAAAUAAAAGGAAGAGAAAAAAUGGAAAAGACAAAAGAAAGCAAACAGAAGAAAGAAAAAUAAAAGAAAGAAUGAGAGAAGGAAGUAAAAAAUGUUGUGAGUACAGUAAGCAUGGCAAAAGAGAAGCAGGGCUUUUUGGAUGCAAAUAUGAAAAUAUCGAGGGAUUCAACACAAACAUCUCAUUACCCCAAAUUAAGUCAAUACAACUAUAAUAGAAGAAAGAUCAGAGAGAAUGGAAUUGUAGUUGCAAUAAUGCUGGAGCCACACAGAAAAAGGCUUUGAACAGGGGUACACAAAACCAGAAAAAAUAAAGAAGGAAAAAAAACCUCUCCCACA